GAUGAACGCUGGCGGCGUGCCUAAUACAUGCAAGUCGAACGAAGAGAGAAGCUUGCUUCUCUUUUAGUGGCGAACGGGUGAGUAAUACAUAAGCAACCUACCCAUUCGACCGGGAUAGCAGUUGGAAACGACUGCUAAUACCGGAUAGGUGACCGGGGGACAUCCCCUGAUCAUUAAAGCUGGGACACAGCACGAAUGGAUGGGCGUAUGGCGCAUUAGUUAGAUGGCGGGGUAACGGCCCACCAAGACGAUGAUGCAUAGCCGACCUGAGAGGGUGACCGGCCACACUGGGACUGAGACACGGCCCAGACUCCUACGGGAGGCAGCAGUAGGGAAUUUUCGGCAAUGGGCGCAAGCCUGACCGAGCAACGCCGCGUGAGUGAAGAAGGCCUUCGGGUUGUAAAGCUCUGUUGUAAGGGAAGAAUGGCCAAGAGAGGGAGUGCUCUUGGAGUGACGGUACCUUACCAGAAAGCCACGGCUAACUACGUGCCAGCAGCCGCGGUAACAC
rnacentral:rRNA from 1 species